rnacentral:rRNA from 1 species
AUUGAACGCUGGCGGCAGGCUUAACACAUGCAAGUCGAGCGGAGAUGAGGUGCUUGCACCUUAUCUUAGCGGCGGACGGGUGAGUAAUGCUUAGGAAUCUGCCUAUUAGUGGGGGACAACAUUCCGAAAGGAAUGCUAAUACCGCAUACGUCCUACGGGAGAAAGCAGGGGAUCUUCGGACCUUGCGCUAAUAGAUGAGCCUACGUCGGAGUAGCUAGUUGGUGGGGUAAAGGCCUACCAAGGCGACGAGCUGUAGCGGGUCUGAGAGGAUGAUCCGCCACACUGGGACUGAGACACGGCCCAGACUCCUACGGGAGGCAGCAGUGGGGAAUAUUGGACAAUGGGCGCAAGCCUGAUCCAGCCAUGCCGCGUGUGUGAAGAAGGCCUUAUGGUUGUAAAGCACUUUAAGCGAGGAGGAGGCUACUUUAGAUAAUACCUAGAGAUAGUGGACGUUACUCGCAGAAUAAGCACCGGCUAACUCUGUGCCAGCCGCCGCGGUAAUAC